rnacentral:rRNA from 1 species
GGCCCGGUUGGAUGGUCAUGCCUCUGGUAUGUACUGGUCUCACUGAUUCCUCCUUCCUGAUGAACCUUAAUGCCAUUUAUUUGGUGUUUUGGGGAAUUUGGACUGUUACUUUGAAAAAAUUAGAGUGUUUAAAGCAAGCUAACGCUUGAAUACAUUAGCAUGGAAUAAUGAAAUAGGACGUUCGAUCCUAUUUUGUUGGUUUCUAGGAUUGACGUA